rnacentral:rRNA from 1 species
AUAUCAAUAAGCGGAGGAAAAGAAACUAACAAGGAUUCCCGUAGUAACUGCGAGUGAAGUGGGAAGAGCUCAAAUUUGGAAUCUGGCGGUUCUGGCCGUCCGAGUUGUAAUCUAGAGAAGUGUUACCUGCGCUGGACCGUGUACAAGUCUCCUGGAACGGAGCGUCAUAGAGGGUGAGAAUCCCGUCUCUGACACGGACUACCAGGGCUUUGUGGUAUGCUCUCAAAGAGUCGAGUUGUUUGGGAAUGCAGCUCAAAAUGGGUGGUAAACUCCAUCUAAAGCUAAAUACUGGCGAGAGACCGAUAGUGAACAAGUACCGUGAGGGAAAGAUGAAAAGAACUUUGGAAAGAGAGUUAAACAGUACGUGAAAUUGCUGAAAGGGAAACGCUUGAAGUCAGUCGCGUUGGCUGGGGGUCAGCUUCACAAGUUUGUGUGGUGUAUUUCCUGGUUGACGGGUCAGCAUCAAUUUUGACCGCUGGAGAAAGGCUUGGGGAAUGUAGCAGCCCUGGCUGUGUUAUAGCCUCUUGUCAGAUACAGUGGUUGGGAUUGAGGUGUGCAGCACGCCGCGAGGCCGGGGCUGUUUUAGCCCACGUUCGUGCUUAGGAUGUUGACAUAAUGGCUUUAAGCGACCCGUCUUGAAA